AGAAUCAACGCUGGCGGCGUGCCUAACACAUGCAAGUCGAACGAGAAAGUGGAGCAAUCCAUGAGUAAAGUGGCGCACGGGUGAGUAACACGUGACUAACCUACCUUUUAGUGGGGGAUAACCUAGGGAAACCUGGGCUAAUACCGCAUAACACUUACGAGUCAAAGCAGCAAUGCGCUGAAAGAGGGGUCGCGGCCGAUUAGCUAGUUGGCGGGGUAAUGGCCCAUCAAGGCAGUGAUCGGUA
rnacentral:rRNA from 1 species